AUGGCUGCUACCUACAUUCCGGUUAACGUAUUCUGGGUUUAAACAAAAUAAACACGGAAUACGUUGAUUCACACCAAAAGCCGGGACUCCACAGAUCAUGAGGAUGUCUUAUUUGUCUGCCUGUGACCUACCGUUAUUGAUCACCAGCCCUGAGAGUCAAAAUGUUUAUUUUACACAACGUUUUCACCAAACAGCAAAUAUCUUACAAGUAGCGUUGGUCGUCCAGGGACACGGCCACAGCCGGACUGAACAGACUCAGUUUAAUAACAGCGACAGCAUCUCCAGAGGUGUUCUUUGACUGGCUCGCCACACAUUUGAGGUCCUUGUCAAAAGACAACAUCCUUUUUCUCUGCCUCCCGGAGGAGUCCAGAGAGUGCCACCAAGGCCGCAGAGUGUCCUGUGCUUUCCAGAAGUCGAGGACACAAUCAAUAGCUUACUAGAGUGGAACCAUAGUGGGCUGGGCUGUGAGCUUCCAUUUGUCACCUUGUCACGGUGAAACCCAGCUAAUGUUCCCCCAUGUUUUUGUGUGCUGGAUUGAUAUCUGUUGCGCUUUAAGGCUGUUGUCAUAGUUAACCCACCAGGUUUGUCGAUAGAGAGAAUAUACCGGCAGCCCAGUUGGCUGUACCAGACCAGCUUGUAACUAUUGUAUAGAGAUCAACUUGUAGCUAUUGCGGCUAUUGCAUAAAGCUUCUAGUUGGCUGAUCAACAAUUUUUUAUUUAAAUAUCAUGUUUGGAAAUCCUUAUGUACGUCACUCAUUGAAUAUUGUUUUGGUGCAGAGAUCUUAGAUUGAAAUGAUGUACUGUAACUUUCUAUCUAUUCUCAAAAUGUACAGAAAACAUUUAUUUCACAAUACUAAACAUUAACGCAUGAUCAAACAGAGAGAUGCUGAAACACAAUGGCAGCAUGGGAACCAUUCAUUAUUGUCUCACUCUCCAACUGUAUUUCAAAUGCUGAGAUAAGAGAUAAGCCCUUCACAGAGAUGAGAAGCAGGCCAGGGUAUUUUUACCCGAGGAUCCACUUCUGUCCACAGGCUCAGAUAAUGAAGAUGGCCCCGGAGCAAAGAUUACCACCGAUCCAUUCCAGCCCCCCUCAUCUUUCACAGCACUUUCUCUGGGCAGAAGCUACUUUGUUAAGUAGUUGUUAAGUGUGUUAUUCUUUGUACACACAAACAUUGCCCUGGUGAUGGUCCAUUCUGAGCGUGCCUGUCGUGUUCUGUGGGGGAUGACUGAAGGAGAACGUGUGGGAGGAGACCAGACCAGAACAGACAACAUAAUUCACCACUUUGAUCAGAAGGGAACAUUAACCUUCCCUCAAGAGGCCUUGUGUAUAUUACAACUAGAGCCCGUGUUCUCAUUAUGAACAUGUCUCUAUGACUAUGACUAAUUUAACCCUCAACAUGCCAACACACUUCAUGUUGGACAAGUGUGAACAGCUAGAGACACUUCUCAGUGUGAUGUGUAGUUAAGAUGACAGGCUCAGUUCAGUUGUGCUGUAGGUGGAACGGAUGUGUAAAUAUGCAUGCAUGAUGAAUGAAGAAGGUUCCCCUGUCUUGGCAUAUGACAAUAAACCCAUUUGAACAUUU